rnacentral:snoRNA from 15 species
AACCCCUGGCUAUGGGCAAAGAGACACCUGAUUGAUGGUGGUGCUCUUAUAUCAGUCAGGGGCAAAGCAGACUGGCAGCCCUUUGUUCAUCCUAGCUUGAUGCCUGGAUUGUGGCCAGAGCUGUUUCAUGCCUAGGACACAUUA